UCUACGAGGUGCUGCUUUGGCCGUGGUGUCCUUUCYGGCAGUUCUGCUAAAACGGAGGCAGAAGGGCUCGGGAGUGAGCUGUGAAUUGCCACGGAGGACCAGGCCUGUGGUGAUGGUUUCACGUGACUCUCUCAGCACUGUCCAGUGCUUUUAGGGAAAAACAGGCCACGCGAAUUGCAAGUGAAGGGAUCUGCUGCUUGUCCAGUCUGACACAGGAUGAAGGAGUAUCUCAGACYGUCUGUCCUUGGACUUUCAGCCACAUUCAGACUUGAAUGGAAACCUCAGUUUCACCCUUCUCUGUUUGCGGAGGGAACCCAAACUUGACUCAGGACUCCACCUGUGCACUAGGAUCUCUCUGACGGCCUUGUCACACCAGCAGAAUCGGACAGAAUACAGCUCCCAUGACGUAGCACACACUCCCUCGCAUCGCUUUCUUGUGUCCGAGGCCCUGGACAUCAUGGGAGAGACAGCCUGGGAAAGAAGUCCAGUGUGUGGGAAAGAAAAAAGGCAAAGAAAGCAAGAGCUAUGGUUUCUUUCAUGGUAUUACUCUAGCCAGAGAAUUUCUAGCCUGCCUGUGCUGAAUCCAAACUUUGCAAUACUGUUCAAUAAUCACUUCUGCAGAAACUGUACUUYAAAACAAACAAAUCAGUUUGACAGAAAACUCUGAGGAGCUGAAGAUAAAUUCAUAUACAAGUUUUUUUUAAAAAAACCUUAAUAUAUCUUGUUUUGUGAUUGGCAAUUAAUAUAGCAUAUAUUCAGAAUACUUUUACUGAAACUUAUAAUUCUCUUUUUGUUUAAUUCCUGGAAAUGCAUGAAC
ensembl:lncRNA